UGACUAGUUUGUAAAAGAAAGCGUUUCCGAUCCAAUGAUGUAUAUAUAUCCUUUCCUCUCAUCUGCAUACAUAAGUAAACGAGAAGCGCAUUAACAUGGUCCAAUUGUUCCCAGCCACGUAAGAGCUUUUUUCGAGUGUACUUUGAGUGCGUUGGGUGAUUGUGACCACCGAGAUGACAAUUGUUUCAAUACACUCACAGAUAUGGGUAUGUGUUUGCUUGGGGAGCGG
ensembl:ncRNA lncRNA:CR45221 long non-coding RNA:CR45221